rnacentral:rRNA from 1 species
GACGAACGCUGGCGGCGUGCUUAACACAUGCAAGUCGAACGGUAAGGCCCUUCGGGGUACACGAGUGGCGAACGGGUGAGUAACACGUGGGUGAUCUGCCCUGCACUUCGGGAUAAGCCUGGGAAACUGGGUCUAAUACCGGAUAGGACCACUGCCUGCAUGGGUGGGGGUGGAGGGCGUUUGCGGUGUGGGAUGGGCGCGCGGCCAAUCAGCUGGUUGGUGGGGGGAUGGCCUACCAAGGGGACGGCGGGUAGCCGGCCUGAGAGGGGGACCGGCCACCCUUGGACUGAGAUACGGCCCAGACUCCUACGGGAGGCAGCAGUGGGGAAUAUUGCACAAUGGGCGCAAGCCUGCUGCAGCGACGCCGCGUGAGGGAUGACGGCCUUCGGGUUGUAAACCUCUUUCAGCACCGACGAAGCGCAAGUGACGGUAGGUGCAGAAGAAGGACCGGCCAACUACGUGCCAGCAGCCGCCGUAA